GCCCCGGAGGGGGCCUCACUGCCUCCCUCUGCCGAGGGGGGAGCAGAGGGUCCCUCUGUCUGGUGGAGGAUGGCAUUGCGACAUUGACAUUGAGCAUGGAGAUGAGGAUGGAACUAGGCCUGGACCAAUCCCGGAAAACGCCAGGCCCUCCUUCUACCCCAGUCUGAGAGCACUGAUUUUGGGGCUCUCUCUUACAAGCCCCCAAAACCUGCAACUCCAGCCUCCCCUU
rnacentral:lncRNA from 1 species